AUUGAACGCUGGCGGAAUGCUUUACACAUGCAAGUCGAGCGGCAGCGCGGGGCAACCUGGCGGCGAGCGGCGAACGGGUGAGUAACAUAUCGGAACGUACCCCGUCGUGGGGGAUAACUAUCCGAAAGGAUAGCUAAUACCGCAUACGACCUGAGGGUGAAAGGGGGGGGAUCGCAAGACCUCUCGCGAUGGGAGCGGCCGAUAUCGGAUUAGCUAGUUGGUGGGGUAAAGGCCUACCAAGGCGACGAUCCGUAGCUGGUCUGAGAGGACGACCAGCCACACUGGAACUGAGACACGGUCCAGACUCCUACGGGAGGCAGCAGUGGGGAAUUUUGGACAAUGGGGGCAACCCUGAUCCAGCCAUUCCGCGUGAGUGAAGAAGGCC
rnacentral:rRNA from 1 species